GCAUGGAGAUGAUAUGAAAUAUGCUACGGCAUAGGUAGAGGAUGGACUUAUGGCGCAUUAGCUAGUUGGAGGGGUAACGGCCCACCAAGGCGACGAUGCGUAGCCGACCUGAGAGGGUGACCGGCCACACUGGGACUGAGACACGGCCCAGACUCCUACGGGAGGCAGCAGUAGGGAAUUUUCGGCAAUGGGGGAAACCCUGACCGAGCAACGCCGCGUGAAGGAAGAAGUAAUUCGUUAUGUAAACUUCUGUCAUAGAGGAAGAACGGUGCGUGUAGGGAAUGACAUGCAAGUGACGGUACUCUAUAAGAAAGCCACGGCUAACUACGUGCCAGCAGCCGCGGUAAUACGUAGGUGGCGAGCGUUAUCCGGAAUUAUUGGGCGUAAAGAGGGAGCAGGCGGCACUAAGGGUCUGUGGUGAAAGAUCGAAGCUUAACUUCGGUAAGCCAUGGAAACCGUAGAGCUAGAGUGUGUGAGAGGAUCGUGGAAUUCCAUGUGUAGCGGUGAAAUGCGUAGAUAUAUGGAGGAACACCAGUGGCGAAGGCGACGAUCUGGCGCAUAACUGACGCUCAGUCCCGAAAGCGUGGGGAGCAAAUAGGAUUAGAUACCCUAGUAGUCCACGCCGUAAACGAUGAGUACUAAGUGUUGGGAGUCAAAUCUCAGUG
rnacentral:rRNA from 1 species